UACGGGGGGAGCAAGCGUUGUCCGGAUUUAUUGGGCGUAAAGAGCUCGUAGGCGGCUUGUCGCGUCGACUGUGAAAACCCGUGGCUCAACCAUGUGGUCUGCAGUCGAUACGGGCAGGCUAGAAUUCGGUAGGGGAGACUGGAAUUCCUGGUGUAGCGGUGAAAUGCGCAGAUAUCAGGAGGAACACCGGUGGCGAAGGCGGGUCUCUGGGCCGAUAUUGACGCUGAGGAGCGAAAGCGUGGGGAGCGAACAGG
rnacentral:rRNA from 1 species